UACGGAAGGGGCAAGCGUUGUUCGGAUUCAUUGGGCGUAAAGGGCGCGUAGGUGGUUCUGUAUGUCUACCGUGAAAGCAUACAGCUCAACUGUAUUUUGUCGGUAGAAACUGCAGGACUUGAGGCUGGGAGGGGCUGGUGGAAUUCCCUGUGUAGCGGUGAAAUGCGUAGAGAUGGGGGAGAACACUCGUGGCGAAGGCGGCCAGCUAGACCAGUUCUGACACUGAGGCGCGACAGCGUGGGGAGCAAACAGG
rnacentral:rRNA from 1 species